CGCCGGGGCUUCGUGGUGGUGUAUUUCAUAUUGGGGCUCUUUUCGGGGUUUGUAAUUUGGCCGUGGGUAGGUAAUUGGCUGGAGCAGGGCGGCAGGGCGCGGCAGCCAAUCAGCGCGCGGCUUCUAUAGGGCUUGAGUUAUUAGACGCUGAUCUCAAAACAUCCUUCAUCAGACACCAAGGAGAGGCCAACAGAUGAGGGGAGCCAUUUUUCUGCAAUGGAAUUAAAUGGCCAAGUGGGUUUUUCCUUUGUUGCAAAUGGGGAAUGUUUUUCCUUUGACUCCACCAUCCAGUUCAGGACGCCUCAGUGUUGUGUUUAACAUUUGUCAACAGGCUAAAGGAUUCACAAUUGGAAGAAUGAAGAAGACUUUUUAAAAAGAUCUGGAUUUUUCCUUAUGACUUGGAAUCCAUCUUUGUCUUAUAUAACUAGGUCAUAGCACACCAUUAAUGUCAGCAGUUAACAAUUUUGAAUUCCAAAAAACCUAAAGCAGUAAACAGUCCUCAGCGAAGCCGCCUUUUGCCAACCCAACCCUGGAAAGUUUACAGAAGUGGAAGGACAGAAAAUGCCAUGAGAGUGUAACUUACAAAAAGGCUCCUGGCCAGAGAAGGGGCCACAUGCCGGUGCCCCCAGGGUGGACCGUCCUCCACUGGACAGCAGCAGCAGGCCUAGUUUGACUCUGACAGUCCUCCUCAGGAAUUCCUGGUGGCCAGAGGGAGAAUGACAUGGGUCCCUGGAACAGCUCGCAGGUGAGGAAGCCGGGCCCCCGGGCGUGGGGGUGUGCCCAGCCCCGCAGCUGGCCUGCCCUGGCCCGGCCCCCUCGGAGGGAGCUUGGAGCAGCUGGCCUGGCCGCUGGGUAUUUUUAGCUACAGACCCAGCCCCCACACCCCACUGGAGCUGGGUCCCCGUCGCAGGCGCUCCAGGCCGCCUGGGCCUGGGGUACUGCCAGCCUCUCGGCCAGGCAGGGGGCUGGGGCCAGUGUCAGCUGUUCUGCCGGGACCCAGGCAGGGCUGGGAGACUCGCUCUCCCUUGCUGCUCCUCUCCACUCUGUGGAAGGGGUUCUGUCAAAAAAGUCAAAAUUGCAGCCCCAUUUCUCAAGUGGGAAGUGGGAACCGAGUCUGAGGAUUUGGAGGAUAGUCAGGAGCCGUCCCCGUGGGCUCCUGUGGUUUCUCCUGACCUAGUUUGCUCAGUGGGGUGACCUUUCUAAGUGAACUCUUCCUCCAACCCCUGCCAGACUAGGCAGGCCCCCUCCCUCCCUCUCUCAGUCCCUCCCUGCGCUUUAGGGUCCCUGCAGCAGGCCAGGCCGGAGGUGAGAAGGCCACAAAGGUGCGUGGUCCUCCUCCCUUCGCUCCAAACCCUCUUCAGUCUUCCCCAAUCCCCCUGUGGUCCUGGGGUCAUUUCUGAAAUUUCUGGACCUGGUCUGUUCUCCUGCCAACCUCAGGCUGCCUUACUAGCCAGUCACAGCUCCUCUGUGGUCGCCAAAGAGAGCUUGAGGGUCCAGCUGUGGCGGGGCCUGUUCAGGAGCCUUCUGUCCCGUGUGCCCUGCUUGAGCCUGGCAGCCAGGCCCUUUAACCCCCAUUACCUUGACAACAGCAGCUGGCCUCUCUCCUUGUUCCCCAGCCCCUGCCAUCCUGCUGGGGUUCCCCAGCCACCAUGCAUGUGCCCCGGCUGGGGACCCACCUGGCGUGCCCUCCCAGCCCUGCCAAGCUUAGUUCCACCACCUCUCAACCUUCUCAGAGCUUCUUACAGGCAGGAACACA